AGCUCCAAUAGCGUAUAUUAAAGUUGUUGCAGUUAAAAAGCUCGUAGUUGGAUUUCUGGUGGGAGGGAUCGGUCCUGCAUUCUUUGUAGGAACUUGUAUCCUCUCCGGCCAUCCUUGGGUGGAUCUUGUUUGGCAUUAAGUUGUCAGGCAGGGGAUGCCCAUCGUUUACUGUGAAAAAAUUAGAGUGUUCAAAGCAGGCUUAUGCCAUUGAAUAUAUUAGCAUGGAAUAAUAAGAUAGGGCCCUGGUACUAUUUUGUUGGUUUGCGUACCGAGGUAAUGAUUAAUAGGGACAGUUGGGAGUAUUUGUAUUCAGUAUUCAGUGGUGAAAUACUUAGACCUACGGAAGACAAACUACUGCGAAAGCAUUUGCCAAGGAUGUUUUCA
rnacentral:rRNA from 1 species